UUAUCAGAUGGAGAGGCAGGCUGUGGAAGAAAAAGCAGAGGGGUGGUGGGAGAUGAGAUGGUGGAGGCUGUUUUCUUUGAAAUUCAACUCUCACUUAGCACCCCCCUCCCAUCAUAUUCUCUGUGCACACGGCUCCCUGCAUUGCCAUAGUAACGUGCCUUUUAAUCACAACAGAAACCUCAUUUCCUGCUCCUGACAAAGAGUCCUCAUCGCCCGCAGUAGCCGUCUGCAUCGGCCAUUUCCAAGACCCACCUCCUCUUGCUCCCUGAACCUACCAGCAGUGACAACCUCCUAUUUUUUACUCCUCCUCUCCUUAUAAGUACAUUUCACCUUUUUACCCCCUCAAUUAGACGUUCUUUUUUGCUACAUCUCUCGUUUGUCCUUUGGUUGGCUCCUUUUCUGUCAGCUUUUGAGGACGGUUGUUACCCCCAUUCGGUUCAUGUGGCGCCUACACUCAGAAAAAUGCAGGCCAGGUCAUGUCAGCACUUGUGUUUACCUUUCAAAUCAUCUCUGGCAACUACACGCCGUGUGAUUCAUUCAUCUGUUCUUCAUCAAAAACAGCUGUCGGCCACAACAGCUCCAGUGCCAUUGUCUGAUGUACCGCUUAAAAGACAUUCUUCGCAGUUUGGGUCCCUGCCCCCCCUUGUGAGUCCCCCUGUGCGAGUCCCUCAUUUUAGCUUUGGUUGCUGUGCAGAUGGCUCUUUGUUGGUGCUUCACAAUGGGUCUAAGGUCAGAGCGCCACACUCAAACUUCUCUACCACAGCUGUCCUGUGGCUUUGAAAGAACUUUAUUAAAGCAGACUUUCUGUCAAAACGUCAUGGCGCAGACGGUUAUUUUUCUGUGCUGGAUUAGGAGGAAGUCGUGAAACCACAGAUGCACAAUCGCGAUAGCCCACACAUCUGAGACUGUUGUUGAUGUUGACCUGACUCGUGCAAGUUCUUUAAAAGCAAACGACAAACCUGCAAGUCCUCAAAGUUCAUUUUUGUAGUGUUUUUUGACCGGUGCAGUGUUUCUGACGUACACAGUAAAACCCAGCAGCCCAACUAGAGAAAUACAAAUGCAAAUCUGCCAUCUGCUCUUUGAUCUGACCACCCAUUCUACACCAAAUGAGACAGUUACAAAUUACUUGACCCUUCAAAUUAAUUAAAAAAAAAAAAAAGAUCUUGUCUUUUUUAAUGUAAAUAUAAAUACAACAGUUAACAUGCUGUCCUUUUUGAAAACUGCUCACAUUUUGAAAGAACCAGCAAUAUCAAAAAGAAAAACAGCCUUAAUUAAUGUAAUUGAACGGCCAUGAAAAGAAAUUUAAAAAAAGGCCCAGUUUUUGCUGCAAAACUGAAAAGGCCCCACAAGCCAGAGAACCAUGCAGACUUGAGGCCAGCAUGCAGCAGGACAGAGCAGGUAGAGAGGCUGGAAGGCGGGAAACUCGGAGAAGGAGGAGCACUUCUUGCAAAGCUCUUGGAAUUACUGGAAAUUUCCACUUUCCUCCUGCAAGAUAGUUACAGGGGUGGAGCCAAGGAGUGAAACAAAUAUAGUGGAGCACAUGUUACACUCAAGUCUGUGCUCAAAGAAACUCAUUUGUUCCUCCUUUCAUCUUUUAAAUUGUCUUCAGAUCACAGGAUUAUUGUAAAACCACGACAAAUAAUGCAUUUACUAAUUAUCUGAAUUCGGCUCUCUAUUAAAAUAGUUUGCAAAGAAAAAACUGCUUCUUUAACUAUAGGAUUCAUUGUGAUGAAUGUCUCUUUUCAAAUGUCUAUUCGUGAAACUUUUGUUUUCAACCCUUUCAAGAUGCUCAUCAUUGAACAUACUUAGUGGAGAUUAGUACUAAAGAAUCUAAAAAAAAAACUACUUCUGUCGUCUUUUUGCAGCAGUUCAAUCAACACCUUAAUGUCCGAUGGGAUUUGUAGUCUCUACGGCACAUUCUGGAGCUUCUCUUUGACCAAUCGGCUCCACCACAACAACCAGUAAAGGGGGAGUCUGAGGGUAUGAGCAGCAGCGCUCACAGCCAGUGUUCACAGAUCAGAGCCGCACCUCAGCAUCCUGCCCUAGAUUGUUGCAAUUAAUACAUUCAUCACCCAACCUGAAGGAGAUGGUAUUAUUGCCCAAGAUCGCGAAGGUCUUAGCAUUGUGGGGGGAACGACAGCAGGACAAAUUCUCAAAGCAAACGUAUGCACAUUGUGUGUCACACACUGUAGUGUAAGCUGUCUAGUCUGUGUGUCAUUUCACACAGUUAGCACAGUUGUAGGCAAAGUUUGAUACAAAGACACAGUCCAGCUGAUGCUUUCACAUGAAGAAUAAUGCAAGGAUUACACUGUUCAGAUCAAUAUUUGUUUACAUUUUUAAUUUGUAUUACUAUAGUUGGAAAUGUAAAUGCCCUUCUUCACAAAAAAACAUAUAUAUUUUUUUAUUGUACCAAAAUAUAAACAUGUAUAUUAAAAAAAAAAAUCAGAACUAUGAUAAAAACACAAAAACACAUAUAAGAAAAGAUCACAACAAUGAAUGAGGUACAAUUAAAAGUGGAAGCAAAGUAUAACAUCCCCCCCCCCAAAAAAAAAAAAAAAAA